rnacentral:rRNA from 1 species
GAUGAACGCUGGCGGCGUGCCUAAUACAUGCAAGUCGAGCGAACAGACGAGGAGCUUGCUCCUCUGACGUUAGCGGCGGACGGGUGAGUAACACGUGGAUAACCUACCUAUAAGACUGGGAUAACUUCGGGAAACCGGAGCUAAUACCGGAUAAUAUAUUGAACCGCAUGGUUCAAUAGUGAAAGACGGUGUUGCUGUCACUUAUAGAUGGAUCCGCGCUGCAUUAGCUAGUUGGUAAGGUAACGGCUUACCAAGGCAACGAUGCGUAGCCGACCUGAGAGGGUGAUCGGCCACACUGGAACUGAGACACGGUCCAGACUCCUACGGGAGGCAGCAGUAGGGAAUCUUCCGCAAUGGGCGAAAGCCUGACGGAGCAACGCCGCGUGAGUGAUGAAGGUCUUCGGAUCGUAAAACUCUGUUAUUAGGGAAGAACAAAUGUGUAAGUAACUGUGCACGUCUUGACGGUACCUAAUCAGAAAGCCACGGCUAACUACGUG